GAUAGGAAAAUGACAAAUUAUAUUUUUCUUACUGAUUUUCAACUUAUUCUCCUGAAAAAAAUUCAAAUCCAACUAAAAAUUCUAAAAUUUAGGAGGAAAAAAUAUAAUUUGUCAUUCUCCUAUU
rfam:Gossypium arboreum cultivar AKA8401 contig_105355_3, whole genome shotgun sequence.